rnacentral:rRNA from 1 species
CAAGUACCGUGAGGGAAAGUUGAAAAGAACUUUGAAGAGAGAGUUCAUAAGAAUGUGAAGCCGCUAGGAGCUUAAACGGGUGGAACUGCGAAGGACGAACGAGGGUAUUCACCUCGUCGGGGGGACGGGACUGGGGCGCUCCUAACGGCCGGCGCCAAGAGCAAACCCAAGCGAGCGCGGGAGUGCCCCUAGCAGUCCGACAGACAGGUCCCUCUCCGGCGGGCGUAGUUGUCCCCUCUAGUAGUGAAACGCAGCGAGCCGUCUCUGUGAGGAUCCAGGAGGGCCGUUGAAUGUCGCGUCCGGACUGGUAGCCUCGGUCAGGAGGGGAAACCGGCGCGUGCUGCUCAAAGACUGGCUCCGGAGACGGCGGACUCCCAGGGGGCCCUUUACGGGCUCCUCGCUGUGAAGUAGCGGUGAUCCACCUGACCCGUCUUGAAACACGGACCAAGGAGUCUAACCUGUGCGCGAGUCUAAGGGUUGUCGGCGAGACCUGGAGGCGCAAUGAAAGUGAGCGAGCCUGCCCCCGCGCAGGCUCUAGGCUGGCCGAUCCCCGGCAGCUUUGUCGGGGCGCAGGCCGAGGACUCGCCUCCCGGCGGGCGUCUGCACUGGCCUCCCCGGCCCU